rnacentral:rRNA from 1 species
AUGCCGGGGAGAGAAGAUGGAGCCUCCGCCGACGAGGAGAGCUCGCAGUGCAGCAGCGGCUGCCAGUCCGGCUGGACCCUGUACCUGGAGCAUUCCGGGUCAGGCCAACAGCAACGUCGCACGCUGCCAUACGUGCAGCCCGGCGACGUCCUGAGGCAGAUGCUGCCGCAGGUGGAAUACUCCGACGAGGAGGAGGAGGAUUCUAUGGUCUCCGACGCGUCCUCCGGCCUGCCGCCGCACCUGCGCGGCGAAGAGGAGGAGCUGUUGCAAGUGCGAGGUCAGACCAACAUGCCUUCACAGCAGCGUCGGUCGGCCUUCGGCGGCGACCAAUGCCACUCCGGCUGGGAUGGCAGUCGUCGCACCGCGAGCCUCUCUGGCUCCCGUUCCUUCGUCUCCACGAGGUCUCGUAGUUCGGGCGAGAUGAGGAGCAGGAAGAAGAGGAGGGCCGUCGUCCAACGGCAGGAUGAGCCGGCGACGCGUCGCCAUGGUGUCUUCGACGACGACGAUGAUCUCCACGACACCGCGAGUUCGUCCGGCGUCGUCGCUCCCGCAGCAGUGGUGGAAGCUACUGUAUCAAGGAUGGCAUGGACCUGCAGCCAAGCUGCGCCUGUGCCUUCUCGGUUCGAAGCACCGGCAUGCAGGUCUCGCGAUGCUGCACCAUAA